UCCAUUUUCAAAGGGUUGUGGCUGCUUACAGCUUUUAUGUUUAGGGUGAUGAAAAAUAUCAAACAUAAAUUUACUUCAUUGAGGAACAUUACCUAAUCCUAUGUGUGAAAACCUAGCCAUUACUCAGACAGAUCUGACAUGCAGUCUGCUUAUAUGUACAGCCCUGGUUUGUCAUCUCAUACCUGGAUCUUAAGAUUGAAAAUUCAUAUGAAAUAUCUGGAGGUAUAAAGACAAUCUGUACUGAGUCCAAAAAGUUUUCAUAUCUGAUAAUUACAGAUGAAUGGAAUUUGCUCCAAAAUAAUGCAAUUUGGAGAAUAUAGUGAGGAAAAGGUGUGUGGAGGAAUAGAUGAACAAGAAUGGCCAUGAGGCAAAAGCCAUUGAAGCUGGGAGGACAGAUUAUUUGCUCUGGGGACCACAACUACCACAUUGUGAGGACACUCACCAGACCUUUGGAGAGGCAUGUAAAAAGAGGAACUGAGGCCUCUAGCCAACAGCCAUUUGAGUUAGCUUGAAAGCAAAUCAUCCAGCCCCAAUGAAGCCUUCAGAUGACUGCAAUCCCAGGUGACAUCUGCAACCCCAUGAGAAACCCUGAGCUGCACUCCACUAAGCUGCUCCUGAAUUCCUGACGCAUACAAACUACUGUACAUUACCUACAGAAGGCACUGCACUUCUUGGCCUCUUCUUGGUCUGGAGUGGAGCAAGGGUAAAAACAGAGGAAACAGGAAGAUACUGCAGAAGCCCAUCUGCGAAUUGGCUAUAACCUCCAGUAGAAUGAUAUCCAUGAACAUGGAGAGAAGUGACCAUCCUUGGGAUCUAUUUCAGAGAAUGCGUGGCUUGGUAAUGAGGUGUCAUCACAUCAGCUUGCUAGAUCUGGGAGGAUGUGUGGUCCAGACUGUGACAUUCAUCAGCUAUUCCCACUUUCGGUGGCUUCUGUAACAACUUACCAAAAAAAAAAAAAAAAUAGAGUUGAUUAAAGCAACAGAAUUUGUCUUUCCUAGUUCUGAAGGCCAGAACUCUGAGAUGGAGAUGUCAGCAAGAUUAUGCUCCCUCGGGAGGUUCUAGAGGAAGAGUCAUUUCCUCCCUCUUUCAGCUUCUGGUGGCUGCUGGCAUUCC